UACGAAGGGGGCGAGCGUUGUUCGGAAUUACUGGGCGUAAAGGGCGCGUAGGCGGCCGAUCAAGUUAGAUGUGAAAGUCCUGGGCUUAACCUGGGGACUGCAUUUGAUACUGAUUGGCUUGAAUUCGGGAGAGGAUAGCGGAAUUCCCAGUGUAGAGGUGAAAUUCGUAGAUAUUGGGAAGAACACCGGUGGCGAAGGCGGCUCACUGGUCCGGUACUGACGCUGAGGUGCGAAAGCGUGGGGAGCAAACAGG
rnacentral:rRNA from 1 species